CCCACCUGUACCCGAAAGAAAACCAGCUUCCAUGAACACGUCUAAGCAUCAGCUCCGUGCGGGUCCCCAUGCUGGGCCCUGUGAAGGGCAAGAACCAAGACCAGGUUGAGAGGAGGCAGCCAUGAAAGCAGACAGUGAUCGUGCACCUUGCUCUGCCUCUUUCUUGCUGUGGGACCUUGGGUAGAUCAUGAACCUCCCUGGUCCUCAACCUCCUUCACUGAGCACGGGGACAAGGAUACCUGCCUCAAAGGGCUGCUGUCAGCCCAGACCGAGGAGGAAUGGAGAUGUUGGUGACAAAACAGGAACAAGCGCUGGGAGUCUGGAAGUUUGGCAAGGCAUUGACUUGGACUUCAGGAUACAACUUGUCUGACACUUCACGCUCCUCAAAGCAAACUCUACACACCCCAUCAGUCCAUCAACAGCAUUCCUGGUGGUCUCUUUCAUUAAGGCCUGUCCUGGGCACUGACCUGGGGACAGACAGGGGGCAGGCAGGCAGGGGGGACCCACUCAUCUAAGGGAUAAGCCGAGCCAAUGAGAAGGAAGACCUCCCGGCUGUCUGGGGCCCAGAGGCUGCUCAAGCGCCCCGCGGCCAGCCUCGGAAGGGCGAAAAAUACCUAAUGCUUGCCAAGCAACGAGCAACGUGGCUGGAACAUCCUCGGGGAGGGUGUCUCUUAGCAACAGAACAGUAUCAGAGGGGCCAAGAGUGGGGCAGUGGCCUUUCAGAUGCCAGGGCACCCUGAAAGUUACUGGGUCAGACUCAGGACCCACGGAAGGCAGUAAGGCCUGAGGACUGCGAGAGGGAGGGCCCUUCAGCUUGGCUUCCUCUGGAGCCCAGGGGACAGCACCAGAUGCCCACUGGGCAAUGAGCCUAUUCACUCUCUUUCCUUUUUGUUCCUCCAAUCAAUAAGUAUUAGUAAAUGCCAACAUGGGCCAAGCACUAGGCUGGAGGUGAGCAGAACAGCUAGAACUCCUGUCUGCAAGGAGCGCUGCCUGGGGGGAAACAGGCACUGAAGUAGUAAGAGGAAGGAGGAGAGCUCUGCCGCUGUGAUUACUGCCACGAGCGAGGGCGUGUGAAGUGCCAGGGUGAUCUGGUCCUCGCAGGGAGACGGGGCACACUGCCCCGAGAGCUGAAGGGCGAGGAGGACUAGGGACACAGCGCACAGCACAGAAACCUCAUAUUAACCCAAACCGUUCCCUCCACUUUCUGGGCACAUAGCUAGACUGUCUCCGGGCCUCCCAGGCAGCUAGAUGUGCUCACAUGACUCAGGUCAUAUGCCACAGGGUGAAAGGGAUCAUUUCUGGGGACGGCCCAUUUGACACCUCCUGUGUGACCCUCUAUGUUUCUUCCCCCCCGCUCCCCGCUCAGCCAUCUAUCUGCCAGACGCAGAGGAGCCUAUAAGAUCCCCUUCAGGCCCUAUGGGAGGACAGAGCCAUAGCCAUAGGGACCUGGGUCUCCAGAAGAUCAUGUGUGAGGCCACCAGGCCACCUGGAAUACCCACAGUGGAUUUUGUGAAAUCAAGAACUAGGCUUCUACUGCGGGAGGUCAUCGGGACCGUGGGAGCUCACUGGGGAUUUUCGCUCCGCCUAAUGCAGAGAGGACGUGCCCCACGCAGAGAGCCAUGUGUGAAGGGCCUCACAGCAAGGAGGAGGAAAGCCUGUUGGAGGGAUGGAAAAAAGGCAGAGAGAAAAUGAGGCUGGAGGUGCAAGUCGGGGCCAGACAAAAGCUAGAAAAAUCUUGGUCCCUGAUGACCUAUGACAUGAAUUUUCAGAAAUACAAGGACCUAAAUAUGACAAGGUUUGGUCACAGAUUCGAUACGCGUGGUGAGGAGGGAUGUAACGGAGAGAGAAACAUUAAGGAUGACAGCCAGAUUUUGGCGUGAGUAAACUGCACGCGUGGUGGAGCUCUUCUCUAAGAUACGGGGCAAUGGAGGACCCUCAACGGAAGAUCAUUCAUUCAUUUCGGAUACAGGUACUUCGGAGGUACCUCUGAGACCUCCCAGCAGAGACUCAGGAUACGCUGGUCUGGAGUACACAGGAGGGCUCUGUGUUGGAAUUAUACAUUCGUGAGUCACCGUUCAUGGGCCGGCGGGUAUGUGAAGCCAUCCCGAGGGGGAGAGUCCAGAGUGAGGGGAGAGGGACCAGGAGCGGGCCUUGAGCAACUCGAACAUUUGGUCAUCGAGACCAGGGCUUGGCACACUUUUUCUGUCAAGGACCAGAGAGUAAAUGUUUUAGGCUUUAUUGGCCAUACCGGCUGUGUU